rnacentral:rRNA from 1 species
CCUACGGGGGGCAGCAGUGGGGAAUAUUGGACAAUGGGCGAAAGCCUGAUCCAGCCAUGCCGCGUGUGUGAAGAAGGCCUUCGGGUUGUAAAGCACUUUCAGUGGGGAAGAAAGCCUUGGGGCUAAUACCCUCGAGGAAGGACAUCACCCACAGAAGAAGCACCGGCUAACUCCGUGCCAGCAGCCGCGGUAAUACGGAGGGUGCGAGCGUUAAUCGGAAUUACUGGGCGUAAAGCGCGCGUAGGCGGUCUGAUAAGCCGGUUGUGAAAGCCCCGGGCUCAACCUGGGAACGGCAUCCGGAACUGUCAGGCUAGAGUGCAGGAGAGGAAGGUAGAAUUCCCGGUGUAGCGGUGAAAUGCGUAGAGAUCGGGAGGAAUACCAGUGGCGAAGGCGGCCUUCUGGACUGACACUGACGCUGAGGUGCGAAAGCGUGGGUAGCAAACAGGAUUAGAUACCCAGUAGUC